rnacentral:rRNA from 1 species
ACUCCUACGGGAGGCAGCAGUGAGGAAUAUUGCACAAUGGGCGAAAGCCUGAUGCAGCAACGCCGCGUGAGGGACGAAGGCCUUCGGGUCGUAAACCUCUUUUCUGGGGGAAGAGACAAGGACGGUACCUCAGGAAUAAGUCUCGGCUAACUACGUGCCAGCAGCCGCGGUAAAACGUAGGAGGCGAGCGUUAUCCGGAUUUGCUGGGCGUAAAGCGCACGCAGGCGGCUCCGUUAGUCGGAUGUGAAAGCUCCUGGCUUAACUAGGAGAGGCCAUUCGAUACUGCGGGGCUUGAGGUUGGGAGAGGGGUGUGGAAUUCCCGGUGUAGUGGUGGAAUGCGUAGAUAUCGGGAGGAACACCAGUGGCGAAGGCGGCACCCUGGCCCACACCUGACGCUGAGGUGCGAAAGCGUGGGUAGCAAACAGGAUUAGAUACCCUGGUAGUCCACGCUGUAAACUAUGUCAACUAGGUGUUGGUAGUGUUACACUAUCAGUGCCGAAGCAAACGCGUUAAGUUGACCGCCUGGGGACUACGGCCGCAAGGCUAAAACUCAAAUGAAUUGACGG